rnacentral:rRNA from 1 species
AUUGAACGCUGGCGGCAGGCCUAACACAUGCAAGUCGAGCGGAGAUGAGGUGCUUGCACCUUAUCUUAGCGGCGGACGGGUGAGUAAUGCUUAGGAAUCUGCCUAUUAGUGGGGGACAACAUUCCGAAAGGAAUGCUAAUACCGCAUACGUCCUACGGGAGAAAGCAGGGGAUCUUCGGACCUUGCGCUAAUAGAUGAGCCUAAGUCGGAUUAGCUAGUUGGUGGGGUAAAGGCCUACCAAGGCGACGAUCUGUAGCGGGUCUGAGAGGAUGAUCCGCCACACUGGGACUGAGACACGGCCCAGACUCCUACGGGAGGCAGCAGUGGGGAAUAUUGGACAAUGGGGGGAACCCUGAUCCAGCCAUGCCGCGUGUGUGAAGAAGGCCUUAUGGUUGUAAAGCACUUUAAGCGAGGAGGAGGCUACUGAGACUAAUACUCUUGGAUAGUGGACGUUACUCGCAGAAUAAGCACCGGCUAACUCCGUGCCAGCAGCCGCCGUAACAC